UACGUAGGGGCCGAGCGUUGUCCGGAGUUAUUGGGCGUAAAGCGCGCGCAGGCGGCCUCGCGCGCCCGACGUGAAAGCCCCCGGCUUAACCGGGGAGGGUCGUUGGGGACGGCGGGGCUUGAGGGCGGGAGAGGUCGGUGGAAUUCCCGGUGUAGUGGUGAAAUGCGUAGAGAUCGGGAGGACCACCUGUGGCGAAGGCGGCCGACUGGGCCGACCCUGACGCUGAGGCGCGAAGGCGUGGGGAGCGAACGGG
rnacentral:rRNA from 1 species